UAUACUGUAAAUGUACUAUAAAGUAAAUAUCAUACUUUUUACUGGUCAUUUUAUCAAGUUAAUAGUUCUAAUUAUUACUUUGAACAACCUUACUUAUUGUUGAUGUUGCUUAAAUUCCGGAUGAACACUUUUUAGAAACUGCAGUUUUCAUUUAAAAACAAUACUGCUUGAUUUAAUUUAAUUUAUACGUGUUACAGACAAUAUGGAGCGACAAGGGUUCGUCAAAGGUAAGCAAAUCGAUGGUUAUAAGUGUAUUAUUUAUAGUCGGUACCUACAGUUUAGAAAUGGUUGAACAAGGAUAUAAAUAAUAAACAAAAGAGAUCUGAUACUGUGUCACUGUUGUAGAUGGGAAGUUGGGAAGGUAGGAUACAUUAAGGAGAUUGUUCAUUGCAAUUUGGCAAUUUCUAUUAUCGUUGUCACCACUCGUGAUCUUUGUGUUAGUUGUAAAUUAUUAUUAUUUAUUCGGUCGAAUGUGCGUGUACCGUCACUUGCCGCACUAUCCAUAUUGAUAGGUACUGUUCUCAUAGGUAGUACCCAGUUGUCAGUAAAAUUAUCAGACAUAGCUCACAGAUAUCUAUAUUAUACCAGAUACUAAACUCCGCUUAUCGAUGCUUAUCGAUACAUAACCGGCAUUUUCUCGGUGGAAAAUAUUGUAAAUAUUGAAUGUAAACGUAUGUAUUUAGACGUAUUUAGAAAUCAUUAUUGUAAUUUGUAAUAUAGACACUUACAGCUAUAGAAUACUUGAUUACAUAGAAAUAAUCGGAAACUUCUAUAGUAUGAUAAAAUAACAACAGAUAUUUCUAAAAUCAUAAAAUUAUUGAUGAAAUUAAAACCAAAUAUAUCAAAAUAUUGGAAGGAACUAUCAAUUUCACAUUACGAUUUUAGCCUCGUGCUUUUUGAUAUUUUCUUUAAUAAUUUAUGUGACGUAUUAUGAAUAUUACUUUGAUAAUUAUGAUAAUUAUCUAUUUAAAUCAUUAAAGAAAAUGCUCAUAUCCUGUGUGGCUUAUGUCUGUUCAAGUCGGUAUUCUGUCAGUAAUUAUUUUGUAAUUCCUUUUUUUCGGAACCUAUGUAUGUAUAAAAUAUGUAUUUGAUUAGCUUUUUAAAACUAGAUAAUAUUUUUUUCUAAUUGUAAUGUGCAUACGUUAUUAUAUUUAAAACUAAGAUUAUAAUAUUAUGCCACUAUGUCAAAAACGAACGCUGUUAGUAAACAUCAUAUGCUAACAAACCAAUUUUAUUUAACAACCAGUAGAUGAAAUGUGUAAUUCACAAAUAUAGAUCAUUCAUUUUACCUAUAUUAUGUUUUUAUUUCGUAUUUAUUUUAAAAUCUGUCUCAAACUCUAUGUACUAUUUUUAUACCUAUAUAUUUUCACAGUUAAUCUUAUUUUCUCUAAGAACUUUUUGCAUCUGCCAACAAUUGAUUAAGUAUUAAAUUAAUUUUUUUGUAGAAAUAGAUAAUAAUUAGUUGACACCAAAAAAAAUUCUUGAAAUCUAAAUACGAGGUAUAAAAAUUAAUUAAUGUAUUAUUAUUUCUUAUGACAAAAUAUCAAUUGUCACCGAAAAUAUGGUAAAAGCAUGUCGCCUAGGUGUCACUAUUCCCAAUGUAAAACGCCAGUAGUUCGCUAUUUAGUAUAAUAUAGAUAUCUAUGUUGUAAUUCAGCGGCUUGCAGCAAUAUUAAUAUCGAAAAGAAAAAAUUUAAAUGAAAAUGUAUAAUAAAAAACUAACACCGUUAAACAUUUUUAUUUUAAUACAAUAAUAUUAGCUUUAGAUGAUCAUAUAAUAAAAUAACAGAAUAAUCGUCAAGUUAUUUUUAAUUGAUCUAUAACUUGAAAGUAGUAAAUUGCCGAGACUGUCUAAAGUAGCAAAUUUUAAAUUUUCAGUUUUUAUUGUUUCUUAUGGAAUUAGUCCUUUUUUUGUGGAUGGACAUUUGAUUUCAUAUAUGCCAUUGUUAUCUAUUAUCAGGAUUUGCAGCUAAAAGUGGUAGGUGUUCAUCAACAAAAUGGCCAGAUUAUUAAAUUUUAAAUCCUGUUAAUUUUUCAAAUUUGGUUUUUCCAAAAGGUUCACACUUAAUAUUAUAUCUGGUAUACUCAUUAACAGAAAAAGUUUUAUAUAACAUUGAAUUUAUUGUAUUAAUUUUUGAAGAUUGAUAUUUAACGAAAAUAAUUUAUUCUUUUGCCUCCUAUACAUACAUUUAGCUACACUAUAUUUUAACCUUGGAUCAAAUUAUUGUUUACUAUAUAAAACAAACUUAAGGUAUGAUGAGCAAGUAGAUUGUUCGCAUACAAAAUAUAUGUUUAAAGUCCCGAUUCUUUCAUUUCUGGAAUAUUAUUUUUAUUUUUAGUUUCAUUUUUUUUUUUAUAUUACACAAAUUUAUAAAAAAUAUAACAAAAUUGUCAUGAUUUCUAAAAACGUGAUAUGAUCCGUGAUACUCGUAUGUUAUUUAAUUUAUAUCUGUAAUUAACGAUUAAACCAUUGAUAUCGAAAAAUUAUUUGAACCAAAUUUAAUAUUAAAACUCUUAUAAAAAAAAAUUUACAUUACAUUACACUAGGGUGACCAUAAGUCCUGUUUUAUGCAGGAUUGUCUUUUUUUUAGCUUUGUGUCCUUUUGUCCCGAUGAACUUCCUUCAGGACGUUUUUUGUCCUGUUUUUAUUUAAAUGCCAAUUAUUCCGUAUUAUAAUAUUCAAUUAGAUAUAAAUAUUUUAUUUUAUUUUUAAAUAAAAUAAAUUUGUUGACAAAAAUAUUUAUUAUAAAUUAUGACAGUGAUUGCGAUUGCAAUUUAUGGACAUGCACAAAAAUCGUGGAAUACACAAACUCUAACUUUUUUAAAAUUUGUAUAAAAUGAUGUUCAUGCACCUACUUGUAUUAAUAAAUUUAAAAUUAUACGAUAAUAUUUUGUACUAUUACUUAUUUAUAAUAACUGUUUUAGAUGGAAAAAAAAAUAAUGCCACCAUUUGUAGAAACAUGAAAAGUAAGAUUCAUAAACACGAUAUACAACUAACAAUAAUUUAAAUUAAUAUAUUAUAAUGUAUUCCUAUAAAGUUUGUUUUAUAGGAAUAAAUAUCAGCAGCAAUAUGAUUUAUGUGUUCCUAAAUUCAUCUGUCAAUUUAACGGAUUGCAGAGUAGAAUAAUGGAGUAAAAAAAAACAUUUUUGUAAUUGCAAUGGAACUUGGUGAUUCAUACCCAUAAUCAUAAUCAACUGCUAAAAUAUUAUCACAAUAUUAGUUUUCUUUAUUUUAUUAUAGCACGAGAAUACUUGUGUCAAGAUAAAAUAAUGCCACUCCUGCGGAUUGACCAGCAGUAGAAUUUAGGAACAAUAAAAUUGAGUGGCUGUUCUUCUGAAUUUAGAAACACUCGAAGUAUGCCCAUAAAUUAAUAGUUUUAGAUUGAUAUUUUUUUUCAUCAUUCAAAAAUUAAAAUAAUAAAAAAUGCACAAAUAUUUUUUAUUCGUAAUUAUUCAAGAUCUAAAAUGUGUCCACAAAAUAUUUUAGAUUGAUGCUGGUAGGUACUAUUACUUCCCAUAUAUUACACUUAUUAGAUAAGAUUAAAAUACUAGAUAGUGCAUUUUCUCCAUUAUUUAUGAUUCCUUAUUAAAAUAAUACAAUUGUCUAAAAAUGUAAACAACCCAAAAGCUAUUUCAACUCCGAGUAAUAAUCAUUGAAAGGAAGAAAGAAAGAAAAGAAGUAAAAAGAAAAUUUCCUUGAAAACAAUUAAUAUUUCAAUAACACAUUUUUUUUAAAUAUUAUUUUAAAUUAGUUAUUUGAAGAAGUGGCCAAUUGGGAAAACUCAAAUUCCUGGCAGCCUUGAAUUUAUUAUCAUUAUUAAUUGAAAUAGUUUAUUUAAACAUAAAUUAAUUUAUGUUAAUGUAAUGUAAACAUUUAAAAAUAGAAGACAAAAUAUAAUUAUUAGUCACUUUAAAAACUUAAAAAAUAUCCUGUCAACUAUUUACAAAUUAAGAUACUACAUUUAUUUAGGUUUCUACAUAAAAGCAUACUGUACUAGGUUACCAAAUUAUUUAUGGAAUUAUAGUUUAUUGUCUAAAAUACGUUUAGAAAACAAUUGUAUUUCAGAUUUUUAUCAAGACAUUGAGAAAUAUUGUAUCAUUAUUUUCUGCUCAUAUCACAAUUCAUUAUGGGCGGAUACUCCAAUUUUAGCAUACUAGGAAAUUAAAAAAAAAAAACCAGUCCUUACUGAUGACCUUAUAAACCCUGAUCAUUGAUUAUAAAUAAAUACUGAUUAUUUGUAAUUAUUAUACAUUAUUGAUUUAUAAUAAAGGCCCUGAUAAACCGAUAGUUCGAUAAUUUUCCAUCACUAUCAAGUGCAAUCUGAGGGCCGGACCCACCGGGAAAUUCCUGGCUUCCGGUAGGCGUAUCCACCAUGCAAUUCGUCUUCGUGCAAAUUUAUUAUAUUUUUACAUUUUUUAAUAUGUUUAGAAGAUAAAAGAGAUUUGCUUUACGG